rnacentral:rRNA from 1 species
GUCCCAGACUCCUACGGGAGGCAGCAGUGAGGAAUAUUGGUCAAUGGGCUUACGCCUGAACCAGCCAAGUCGCGUGAGGGACGACGGUCCUAUGGAUUGUAAACCUCUUUUGUCGGGGAACAAAGGCGCCCACGGGUGGGCGGAUGAGUGUACCCGAAGAAAAAGCAUCGGCUAACUCCGUGCCAACAGCCGCGGUAAUACGGAGGAUGCGAGCGUUAUCCGGAUUUAUUGGGUUUAAAGGGUGCGUAGGCGGGCAGUCAAGUCAGCGGUAAAAAUGCGGUGCUCAACGCCGUACAGCCGUUGAAACUGGCAGUCUUGAGUGGGCGAGAAGUAUGCGGAAUGCGCGGUGUAGCGGUGAAAUGCAUAGAUAUCGCGCAGAACUCCGAUUGCGAAGGCAGCAUGCCGGCUCCACACUGACGCUGAGGCACGAAAGCGUGGGUAUCGAACAGGAUUAGAUACCCUCGUAC